UUUAUGUUUUUCUUUCAGUGGAUAACCUGCCCUUGGGACCGGGAUAACCCCGGGAAACUGGGGAUAAACCCGGAUAGGUGAUGCUGCCUGGAAUGGUUCUUCACCGAAACACCUUCGGGUGCCCAAGGAUGGGUCUGCGGCCGAUUAGGUUGUUGGUAGGGUAACGGCCUACCAAGCCGAUCAUCGGUACGGGUUGUGAGAGCAAGAGCCCGGAGAUGGAACCUGAGACAAGGUUCCAGGCCCUACGGGGGCGCAGCAGGCGCGAAACCUCCGCAAUGCACGCAAGUGCGACGGGGGAACCCCAAGUGCCACUCUUAACGGGGUGGCUUUUCAGAAGUGUAAAAAGCUUCUGGAAUAAGGGCUGGGCAAGACCGGUGCCAGCAGCCGCGGUAAUACGAU
rnacentral:rRNA from 1 species